GUGUCAGCCGCCGCGGUAAAACGUAGGAGGCGAACGUUAUCCGGAUUUACUGGGCGUAAAGAGCGCGAAGGCGGUCUUGCAAGUCGGGCGUGAAAUCUCCCGGCUCAACUGGGAGGGGUCGUUCGAUACUGCAGGACUUGAGGACGGGAGAGGGGAGUGGAAUUCCCGGUGUAGCGGUGGAAUGCGCAGAGAUCGGGAGGAACACCAGUGGCGAAGGCGGCUCCCUGGCCCGGUCCUGACGCUCAAGCGCGAAAGCGUGGGGAGCAAACCGGAUUAGAUACCCGGGUAGUCCACGCCCUAAACGAUGUGGGCUAGGUGUCGGCCUGUCACUGGGUCGGUGCCGCAGCUAACGCGUUAAGCCCACCGCCUGGGGAGUACGGCCGCAAGGCUGAAACUUAAAGGAAUUGGCGGGG
rnacentral:rRNA from 1 species